AUUGAACGCUGGCGGCAUGCCUUACACAUGCAAGUCGAACGGCAGCACGGGGCAACCUGGUGGCGAGUGGCGAACGGGUGAGUAAUGCAUCGGAACGUACCUUUCAAUGGGGGGUAACGUAGCGAAAGUUACGCUAAUACCGCACAUUCUGUGAGCAGGAAAGCAGGGGAUCGCAAGACCUUGCGCUGAUUGAGCGGCCGAUGUCAGAUUAGCUAGUUGGUGAGGUAAAGGCUCACCAAGGCGACGAUCCGUAGCGGGUCUGAGAGGAUGAUCCGCCACACUGGAACUGAGACACGGUCCAGACUCCUACGGGAGGCAGCAGUGGGGAAUUUUGGACAAUGGGGGCAACCCUGAUCCAGCCAUGCCGCGUGAGUGAAGAAGGCCUUCGGGUUGUAAAGCUCUUUCGGCCGGGAAGAAAUCGCACGGGCUAAUACCCUGUGUGGAUGACGGUACCGGAAUAAGAAGCACCGGCUAACUACGUGCCAGCCGCCGCCGUAAAAC
rnacentral:rRNA from 1 species